CAGGAGACAGGUGGGAAGAUUCCCAGUUUGUACAAGCAACUAUCAUCUGCUCAGUACUCGGUCUUCCCCAACACCCUGUGUGUUACCUGGCCAGUAUGCAGUGGAUGUGGGCCAAUGGUGAGAAACAAAUGAGAGGAAGGAUCUUCACACACUGCCCCUGUGUCUUUUUCUAACCCAGCCUAUUGUUAGAAAAAUGAGUCUUUGUGUUUAAGAGGCAAAGGAACUUUCUCUCUCUCCAUCCCCCUUCAAGAUAUAGUUCAGAAUCAGGAGAUCUACAUGUGACUUCAGAAAUGCCUAUUUAGGUUUAUAAAGCCUGGUCAAAAACAAUGGAGCACUGAAGUAGCAGGGUCUUCUUUCAAUCUAUACACAUUAAUAGCCAUAUUCUCUGUAAAUAUUUGAAAAUGUAUGUACAGCUCAAAAAGAUUACUUCCACUAUACAUAUAACAUAUUUCUUUGGGUCUUUUAAUAAACAAAGUUAUAAAACCUUGUCUUUCCAUGUGGCUUGACUGAACAUGAACAAAGUCUGAGAAGGGUCAGCGGAAUGUAUUCUAAUUUGCCAUUACUUCAAAGUCCAGUUUCAACAUCUCUCUUGGCACCAAAUGCUCUGCAACAGUUUAUUAGUCUUAGAAGGGUUGUUAAGUGGAGUAGAAUGGUAUUACAACAUCACUUGUUGAUAGACAUAAAGUCAGAGAACAGUGAGGUCAUUUGGUUGAGGCUUUCCAAGGAAAUGUGCUGAUGCAGUAGAACUUGCUAAAUGGAUGGAUGACUCCGCUCCCUGGUUUGCUCCCCAGAGUUCUCAUGUGAUUUUCCAAGUGAGCCUUUUUAAUGAAGUCCAAACCUCAUAUUUUCGAAAAUGGUAAUUCAAUGUUUUUAGAUUUAUGUUGUACAUUCAGCACUGAAACAUAGAA